rnacentral:lncRNA from 1 species
GGGGGGAAGCUCGCCGGGCUCCCGGUUCCCCCGCGCGCUGGCGGCUCCUCCCCGCAGCGCUGCUCUAAGCAGGCUAUGUGUGAGCUGGAACUUGCGGGGUGGGGUGGCUGGGAGGGGAAGGGCUUUGCACCAAUCCCUGUGAUUACUCCGGACGAAUGCCGGGCUCAGUCCUGCAUGACAGUGUUGGAUGAUGUUGACAUGGACCCAGAAGGAAACUCCAGCAUUUGUUGUCAAGAAUCUCAGAAUUGAAAGGGCUACUGCUUGGAUUCAUUGAUGAAAACUUAUUUCACUGAGAGUCAAGAGAAAUUAUGUCAAGGAGGAAUACUUUAGGCCUCACAUCAAAUUUUAUCGAAUAUUUGUUCCAAGACCUGAAGUCAAGUGAUUAGACCUGAGUCAAAAACAAAGAAAAGUGAUAACUCCAAAAGAGGAGGCCCAGCAGAGAAGACAUGGAUGAUUUGGGGAACAACUGACAUGCUGGAGCAUGCUGACCUGAAGUCUCAGUAGGGUUUAUGUCAGCAAAGGAGCAGUCGAAAUGGAGAAGAAUACCCAUGACUCAGAAAUGUAUUAGAAUCCCUUGUGCAGAAAGAGAAAAUACCAAAUACCACAAACAACCAAACAAAUUAGAGCAACAGCCAUCAAGUCCCUGUGUUUGGACUAUAUACAAUAUUUCUGCCCUUUUAUGUCUCAUUCAUGACCUUCAAGAGACCCAUGGCCCCCGCUUCGAUCCCGGCCGGCGUCCUGCACAAACCGACUCUGCUGUUGCUCUUGCUGUUGCUGCCUGAACUUCUCUGGGCUGCCAGGACGGGUGAGUACCCACAGCGCUGCGCCUCCCCGACCUCUGCCUUCCGGCGUCUCCUCCGGCU